rnacentral:rRNA from 1 species
ACGGAAGGCAGCAGUGGGGAAUAUUGCACAAUGGAGGAAACUCUGAUGCAGCAACGCCGCGUGAAGGAUGAAGGUCUUCGGAUCGUAAACUUCUGUCCUUGGGGAAGAUAAUGACGGUACCUUUGGAGGAAGCCCCGGCUAACUACGUGCCAGCAGCCGCGGUAAUACGUAGGGGGCAAGCGUUAUCCGGAAUUAUUGGGCGUAAAGAGUGCGUAGGUGGUUACCUAAGCAGGGGGUGAAAGGCAUUGGCUUAACCAAUGUUAGCCCCCUGAACUGGGCUACUUGAGUGCAGGAGGGGAAAGCGGAAUUCCUAGUGUAGCGGUGAAAUGCGUAGAUAUUAGGAGGAACACCAGUGGCGAAGGCGGCUUUCUGGACAGUUACUGACACUGAGGCACGAAAGUGUGGGGAGCAAACAGGAUUAGAUACCCUGGUA